GCUUGUGCUAGCCUUCAGAAUUUCUGAUAAAAGCACCUGUCAACUUGAACAUGUAGUCCAUUCUGGUGGAAAGACGAAUCUACAACGAAAGACUGAACUGCUACACAGGGUUCUUCAGGAAACACAAGGGGGAGCUAGAGAUGCGACUUGGUCUCCUUGCACCUCUUCUGAUCGAUCUGGAGCGUUGCAGUGUUCUCUCUCGUCUAGAGAGGGAACAGGUGCAGAACAAGCAACUAACCCCCCAAGAACAGAACCAUGUUCUUAUAACAAUGCUGGAGAAGAAAGGGGCCGUGGCCCAAAAGAAGUUCUAUGAGGCUUUGAAGUCUCAUGACCCUCUUCUGGUGGAGGAUCUUCAGCCUUCAGUACAGAGCCCAGCAGUGCCUGAGCCACAGCAAGGAGGAGAUGCGGCAAAGACAGUUACAAAAUCUUCACUGAAACUGAAGCUUCAGAACCAUCUAAAAAAGAGGUUUUCUACUAUAAACCAACAUGAUAAAAAGUACAAUGUACAAGACAUGUACACUGAUCUUUACAUCGUAACGGGCCGCACUGGAGGAGUCAGUUUUGAACAUGAAGUGGCAGCAAUUGACAUGACACAAAUUGGGGCUAAACCAAGCUCUGAAGAUGAACAAGUCAA